UGGGUGGGGAAGGGAGCGCGCCGCAGCCCACCCAAUGCCCGAGCGGGGCGGAGCAGCCCAACUCGGCCGGAGCCCCGCUGGGCUGGUGGAGAGCGCCGCGAUGCACAAGGCAGAGGCCCGGCCACGUCAGCACGACCACCCGGGGGCCAGUGCCAGGGGAGCCGCGGCAGGAAGCGACGGGGGCCGCCCUCAGCCCGGCCUGGCGCCCCCUGGACCCAUGGAAAGCUCCGCGGGGCUGACGCUGGAACCAUCCCUCUACACCAUCAAGGCGAUUUUCAUCUUGGACAGCUUUGGGCAAAGACUUCUGGCCAAGUACUACGACAGCACAUUUCCAUCCACGAAAGAACAGAAGAUCUUUGAGAAAAAUGUCUUCAACAAAACUCACAAGACUGACAGUGAGAUCGCUUUUUUGGAAGGUCUGACUAUUGUCUAUAAAAGCAGCAUUGACCUCUUUUUGUAUGUGGUGGGGAGCUCCAAUGAAAACGAGCUGAUGUUGAUGUCAGUUCUCAACUGUCUCUUUGAAUCCCUCAAUCACAUGCUACGAAAAAACGUGGAGAAACGGACCCUGAUGGAGAAUAUGGAUGGGGCAUUCCUUGUGGUGGAUGAGAUUGUCGACGGAGGUGUGAUUCUCGAAAGCGAUCCCCAACAAGUCAUGCAGAACGUGAAUUUCAGGAUGGUCCCAGAGCCGGCGGCUUACGGCUUCGUUCUGAUUGAUUAUGUCACGGGUAACUCGGAACAGAAAGACAUUAUACCCGAGAGAUUGUACAAAUAGCGCAGUGCUGUUGAGGAGUGGAUGACAGCCCAUUGUCGGAGCAUAGUGUCACUCAGGUUCUGCAGUCGGCCAAAGAACAAAUUAAAUGGUCCUUA